rnacentral:rRNA from 1 species
UACGUAGGGUGCGAGCGUUAAUCGGAAUUACUGGGCGUAAAGCGUGCGCAGGCGGUUUUGUAAGCCAGAUGUGAAAGCCCCGGGCUCAACCUGGGAAUGGCAUUUGGGACUGCAAGGCUUGAGUGCGGCAGAGGAGACUGGAAUUCCUGGUGUAGCAGUGAAAUGCGUAGAUAUCAGGAGGAAUACCGAUGGCGAAGGCAGGUCUCUGGGCUGACACUGACGCUCAUG